UACGAAGGGUGCAAGCGUUACUCGGAAUUACUGGGCGUAAAGCGUGCGUAGGUGGUUCGUUAAGUCUGAUGUGAAAGCCCUGGGCUCAACCUGGGAAUGGCAUUGGAUACUGGCGAUCUAGAGUGCGGUAGAGGGCAGUGGAAAUUCCCGGUGUAGCAGUGAAAUGCGUAGAGAUCGGGAGGAACAUCUGUGGCGAAGGCGGCCAGCUGGGCCAGGUCCGACACUGAGGCGCGAAAGCGUGGGAGCAAAGCAGG
rnacentral:rRNA from 1 species